rnacentral:sRNA from 1 species
CCCUUGCUGGGGGGCCGGUUCGCCGGAUGGCCAGCCGUGGAUUAGACGGUGAGUGCCACGUUUCAGGAAAACCCCGUCAGCC